CGAGAAAGCCCGCAAGGGUGAGUACAGCGGCGCGCGGGUGCGUAACACGUGGGUAAUCUGCCCUGGAGCCCGGAAUAACUCCCCGAAAGGGGUGCUAAUGCCGGAUGAGACCACGGGAGCUUCGGCUCUCGCGGGAAAAGGUGGCCUCUGUAUACAAGCUAUCACUUCAGGAUGAGCCCGCGGCCCAUCAGCUAGUUGGCGGGGUAAAGGCCCACCAAGGCUACGACGGGUAGCUGGUCUGAGAGGACGAUCAGCCACACUGGAACUGAGACACGGUCCAGACUCCUACGGGAGGCAGCAGUGGGGAAUCUUGCGCAAUGGGCGAAAGCCUGACGCAGCAACGCCGCGUGUGUGAUGAAGGUCUUCGGAUCGUAAAGCACUGUCGCGAGGGACG
rnacentral:rRNA from 1 species